AUUGAACGCUGGCGGCAGGCUUAACACAUGCAAGUCGAGCGGAGCGGCGGACGGGUGAGUAAUGCUUAGGAAUCUGCCUAUUAGUGGGGGACAACAUCCCGAAAGGGAUGCUAAUACCGCAUACUAAUAGAUUAGCCUAAUUCGGUUUAUCUCGUUGGUGGGGUAAAGGCCUACCAAGGCGACGAUCUGUAGCGGGUCUGAGAGGAUGACCCGCCACACUGGGACUGAGACACGGCCCAGACUCCUACGGGAGGCAGCAGUGGGGAAUAUGGGACAAUGGGGGGAACCCUGAUCCAGCCAUGCGGCGUGUGUGAAGAAGGCCUUAUGGUUGUAAAGCACUUUAAGCGAGGAGGCGUGACUCGCAGAAUAAGCAACGGCUAACUCUGUGCCAGCAGCCGCGGUAAUAG
rnacentral:rRNA from 1 species